rnacentral:rRNA from 1 species
AACGCACCUUGCGCUCCUUGGUAUUCCGAGGAGCAUGCCUGUUUGAGUGUCAUGAAAUCAUCAACCACUCCCUUGGUUUUUCCGAGGUGUUUGGCUUGGACUUGGGUGUCUUGCCUCUGCUCGUCGGACGGCUCACCUUAAAAGCAUCAGUGGAUCCUGUCUUGUGCGACAUGGUUUGACUCGGCGUGAUAAGUGUUUCGCUGAGGAUCUCUGUAAAAGGAGAGCCAUGUGGUGAGCUGGCCGCUUCUAACCAUGACCUAGUCAAUCUGUCUCUUAGACCUCAGAUCAGGCAGGACUACCCGCUGAACUUAA